GUCCUUUUAGUAUCAAUUAGUACAACUGACUUCCAAUCAGUUAGCUUCGGAUAACCCCCGAAAAAGGANA
rnacentral:tRNA from 1 species